rnacentral:rRNA from 1 species
GCCGGCCUGAGAGGGCGACCGGCCACACUGGGACUGAGACACGGCCCAGACUCCUACGGGAGGCAGCAGUGGGGAAUAUUGGGCAAUGGANGAAASUCUGACCCAGCGACGCCGCGUGCGGGAUGAAGGCCUUCGGGUUGUAAACCGCUUUCAGCAGGGAAUAAGCGMAAGUGANGGUACCUGCAGAAGAAGCACCGGCUAACUAUGUGCCAGCAGCCGCGGUAAUACAUAGGGUGCAAGCGUUGUCCGGAAUUAUUGGGCGUAAAGAGCUCGUAGGUGGUUUGUUACGUCGGWUGUGAAAUUCAGGGGCUCAACCCCUGACUUGCANCCGAUACGGGCAAGCUAGAGUUUGGUAGGGGA